UUGGAAAUUUGGAAAAAAUUGUCAAGUGUUGACUUAUGUAAAUCAUGGUUAAAAAGGAUACCCAUGGCGUAAGCCGAAAUGGGUUGAAACUGCAAGAAAAGAGUGUAAAAGAAAAAGGGUAUGGUUAUAAAACCCGGGAUGGGAUGAUGUACAAAUUGGAAAUCAAAAACGGUGUUUUUGAUUUAAAUAAGACAAUGUUGGGCAUAUAGUCCAAACGGGUCGAAUGGUGGUGAUAACACCAUUUGACAAUAUCGAUUAAUGUGGUCGUCAAGUCUUAUGUUAACAGGACUAAUUAGCAAAUCAGAUAGUUGCGUCAUCAUUGAUGGUGUGAUAAUAAAAGCGAGGCAUAAAUCGGGUCUAUUUGUUGAUCCGAGCCAGGUGUAUGCUGAGAGCCCGGAUGAAAAUCAAGCGUCAAGCUCAAUGAGGAACCGAACACAUGUUUGAUAAAGCUUCCGCAACGUUGUUGUGUCGUUAUUCUAAACGGCGAAUUAAAUCACAUUAUGUAUAUCGCUUAAAUUAUAAAAGUUUUUAAAAA